rnacentral:rRNA from 1 species
CCUACGGGUGGCUGCAGUGAGGAAUAUUGGUCAAUGGGCGCGAGCCUGAACCAGCCAAGUCGCGUGAGGGAAGACGGUCCUAUGGAUUGUAAACCUCUUUUGUCGGGGAGCAAAAGACGCUACGCGUGUCGUUCUGAGAGUAUCCGACGAAAAAGCAUCGGCUAACUCCGUGCCAGCAGCCGCGGUAAUACGGAGGAUGCGAGCGUUAUUCGGAAUUAUUGGGUGUAAAGGGUGCGCAGGCGGAAGAUCAAGUCAGCGGUAAAAUUGAGAGGCUCAACCUCUGCGCGGCGUUGAAACUGGUUAUCUUGAGUGAGCGAGAAGUAUGCGGAAUGCGUGGUGUAGCGGUGAAAUGCAUAGAUA